GCUGGGUGUGGUGGUGCACAUCUGUAAUCCCAGCUACUCGGGAGGCUGAGGCAGGAGAAUCGCUUGAACCCAGGAGGCGGAGGCUGCAGUGAGCUGAGAUUGUGCCACUGCAUUCCAGCCUGGGCAACAGAGUGAGACUCUGUCUCAA
rnacentral:SRP_RNA from 1 species